rnacentral:rRNA from 1 species
UACAGAGGGGGCAAGCGUUGUUCGGAAUUACUGGGCGUAAAGGGCGCGUAGGCGGCCUUCUAAGUCAGACGUGAAAUCCCUCGGCUCAACCGGGGAACUGCGUCUGAGACUGGAAGGCUUGAAUCCGGGAGAGGGAUGUGGAAUUCCAGGUGUAGCGGUGAAAUGCGUAGAUAUCUGGAGGAACACCGGUGGCGAAGGCGGCAUCCUGGACCGAGAUUGACGCUGAUGAGCGAAAGCUAGGGGAGCAAACGGG